rnacentral:ncRNA from 1 species
GGGGUUAGCUUAUAAACACAAAUUAGAUUCUGUUUUUAUUAGCUAAAUUAUUUCCUGUCUGGCAAUAGGUAUAGCUAGCUAUACCACUCGUGAUAGGGAUUGGGGAUUGCAAUUAUUUCCCAUGAACGAGGAAUUCCCAGUAAGCUCGGGUCAUAAGCUCGCGUUGAUUA